rnacentral:rRNA from 1 species
UUCUGCCUACGGGAGGCAGCAGUGAGGAAUAUUGGUCAAUGGUCGGGAGACUGAACCAGCCAAGCCGCGUGAGGGAGGAAGGUACAGAGUAUCGUAAACCUCUUUUGUCAGGGAACAAAGGCGGGGACGUGUCCCCGGAUGAGUGUACCUGAAGAAAAAGCAUCGGCUAACUCCGUGCCAGCAGCCGCGGUAAUACGGAGGAUUCGAGCGUUAUCCGGCUUUAUUGGGUUUAAAGGUUGCGC